CGGCGGACGGGUGAGUAAUGUCUGGGAAACUGCCCGAUGGAGGGGGAUAACUACUGGAAACGGUAGCUAAUACCGCAUAACGUCGCAAGACCAAAGAGGGGGACCUUCGGGCCUCUUGCCAUCGGAUGUGCCCAGAUGGGAUUAGCUAGUAGGUGGGGUAACGGCUCACCUAGGCGACGAUCCCUAGCUGGUCUGAGAGGAUGACCAGCCACACUGGAACUGAGACACGGUCCAG
rnacentral:rRNA from 1 species